rnacentral:rRNA from 1 species
GGGCGUAAGCGUGCGUAGGCGGUGAGUUAAGUCUGUUGUGAAAUCCCCCGGGCUCAACCUGGGAAUGGCAAUGGAUACUGGCUCGCUAGAGUGUGAUAGAGGAUGGUGGAAUUCCCGGUGUAGCGGUGAAAUGCGUAGAGAUCGGGAGGAACAUCAGUGGCGAAGGCGGCCAUCUGGAUCAACACUGACGCUGAGGCACGAAAGCGUGGGGAGCAAACAGGAUUAGAUACCCUGGUAGUCCACGCCCUAAACGAUGCGAACUGGAUGUUGGUCUCAACUCGGAGAUCAGUGUCGAAGCUAACGCGUUAAGUUCGCCGCCUGGGGAGUACGGUCGCAAGACUGAAACUCAAAGGAAUUGACGGGGGCCCGCACAAGCGGUGGAGUAUGUGGUUUAAUUCGAUGCAACGCGAAGAACCUUACCUGGCCUUGACAUGUCUGGAAUCCUGCAGAGAUGCGGGAGUGCCUUCGGGAAUCAGAACACAGGUGCUGCAUGGCUGUCGUCAGCUCGUGUCGUGAGAUGUUGGGUUAAGUCCCGCAACGAGCGCAACCCUUGUCCUUAGUUGCCAGCACGUAAUGGUGGGAACUCUAAGGAGACUGCCGGUGACAAACCGGAGGAAGGUGGGGAUGACGUCAAGUCAUCAUGGCCCCUUACGGCCAGGGCUACACACGUACUACAAUGGUCGGUACAGAGGGUUGCAAUACCCGCGAGGUGGAGCCAAUCCCAGAAAGCCGAUCCCAGUCCGGGAUCGUAGUCUGCACUCGACUACGUGAAGUCGAAUCGCUAGUAAUCGCGAUCAGCUAUGCCGCGGUGAAUACGUUUCUCGGGCUUGCACUCACCCGCCCGUC